UGGGAUGUAGCUCAGUGGUAAAGCGUUCGCUUCGCAUGCGAAAGGCCCGGGGCUCAAUUCCCCGCAUCUUCAA